rnacentral:rRNA from 1 species
CGCGAAGAACCUUACCUAAGCUUGACAUCCUUUUGACCUCUCCUUAAUCGGAGAUUUCCCUUCGGGGACAGAAGUGACAGGUGGUGCAUGGUUGUCGUCAGCUCGUGUCGUGAGAUGUUGGGUUAAGUCCCGCAACGAGCGCAACCCUUGCCUUUAGUUGCCAGCAUUAAGUUGGGCACUCUAGAGGGACUGCCAGGGAUAACCUGGAGGAGGGUGGGGAUGACGUCAAAUCAUCAUGCCCCUUAUGCUUAGGGCUACACACGUGCUACAAUGGGUGAUACAGAGGGCAGCCAAGUCGUGAGGCGGAGCUAAUCCCUUAAAGCCAUUCUCAGUUCGGAUUGUAGGCUGAAACUCGCCUACAUGAAGCUGGAGUUACUAGUAAUCGCAGAUCAGAAUGCUGCGGUGAAUGCGUCCCCGGGUCUUGUACACACC